CGCCUGACACUGCCCCAUUCACUCUUUGCACUUGAAGCAGCAACACUGGGCAGCUGAAUGCAUGCCAGCCCCCCACCCCCUCACCGUCACCUAACAUCAUGCCCUGGGCUGCUGCUGCUAAAUGCAGCUUCAUCCUGGAGCUUACAAGUGGAAGAUUCCCCUUCAUCAGGUGAAAUGAUCCAUUCAGGGGGUGGUGCUUCCUUCAUAAUUUUGGAUUGCGUUUGAAGAAUGGUACUCUCCUUCUGCAUCCACAAACCAGUGCAUUCUUAUUUAUCAGUGAUCAAAGGUGAGCUGCAGCUCAUUAUCUGUCAGCUGUCUCAAAAGCUCCACCAUUUUCUUCUUUACCUCAACAAUUGAUGCAAAAUGGUUUCCCUUGAGUACAGAUUUGACUUUAGGGAAAAGAAAGAAGUCACAUAGUGCUAGGACUGGUGAGUAUGGAGGGUGUUCUAGCACUGCAACCUGUUUCUCAGCCAAAAACUGCUUCACAGAGAGAGUAUUGUGUGGGCUGGUGUGUUGACCUGAUGGACGCUCAAACUAUUUUUCCACAACUCUGGGCUCUUCUGAUUCCUUCAUGCAAAGUUUGUGGAACAUUUUUGUAGUAAUGUUGAUUCACGGUUGUGCCUUCUGGUUUCGAGUCUUCCAAAAUAACACCCAUGAUAUCAAAGAAAGCAAUUCCAUUCAUUCGGAUUUGCUUUGACGUGCUUUCUUCAUUCUUGGAGAUGAUGAUAUUUUCUAGUGCAUGGACUGGCGUUUUACCUCAGGGUCAUACUGGAAGAUCCAUGUUUCAUCACAGGUAACAGCUGUAUCUGAAAAAUGUGAAUCCAAUUGAAUUUGUUCCAAAAUUAAUGUAAAACUUUCCAAUUGAUUUUUUUUCUUCUUGGUAGUGAGAAGCAUU